rnacentral:rRNA from 1 species
CCCUUUGGGGUGUGACUGCGUACCUUUUGUAUAAUGGGUCAGCGACUUAUAUUCUGUAGCAAGGUUAACCGAAUAGGGGAGCCGGAGGGAAACCGAGUCUUAAUUGGGCGUUAAGUUGCAGGGUAUAGACCCGAAACCCGGUGAUCUAGCCAUGGGCAGGUUGAAGGUUGGGUAACACUAACUGGAGGACCGAACCGACUAAUGUUGAAAAAUUAGCGGAUGACCUGUGGCUGGGGGUGAAAGGCCAAUCAAACCGGGAGAUAGCUGGUUCUCCCCGAAAGCUAUUUAGGUAGCGCCUCGUGAAUUCAUCUCCGGGGGUAGAGCACUGUUUCGGCUAGGGGGCCAUCCCGGCUUACCAACCCGAUGCAAACUGCGAAUACCGGAGAAUGUUAUCACGGGAGACACACGGCGGGUGCUAACGUCCGUCGUGAAGAGGGAAACAACCCAGACCGCCAGCUAAGGUCCCAAAGUCAUGGUUAAGUGGGAAACGAUGUGGGAAGGCCCAGACAGCCAGGAUGUUGGCUUAGAAGCAGCCAUCAUUUAAAGAAAGCGUAAUAGCUCACUGGUCGAGUCGGCCUGCGCGGAAGAUGUAACGGGGCUAAACCAUGCACCGAAGCUGCGGCAGCGACGCUGAUGCGUUGUUGGGUAGGGGAGCGUUCUGUAAGCCUGCGAAGGUGGCCUGUGAGGGUUGCUGGAGGUAUCAGAAGUGCGAAUGCUGACAUAAGUAACGAUAAAGCGGGUGAAAAGCCCGCUCGCCGGAAGACCAAGGGUUCCUGUCCAACGUUAAUCGGGGCAGGGUGAGUCGACCCCU